rnacentral:lncRNA from 1 species
CCUGGACAGCCGUGAAAGAAAUUGGGACUGAUCUUUGGACAGGAGGAUGGCUGUGUCCCCUCCUGAGGUCAGAGGGGGACACUGCUUCCAGACAGGGCCUGCAGCUGAGCUUACAGCCUCUCCCGACAUGGCCACGUGAUGAUUUGGUCAUGCCUUCUGAUGAAUGGCUAUCUGCUUAUGUGCCUAGAUCCACCAGAGUUGUCACAGUUACAGGCCAGUUACUAGGAGGCCUCUUCUGAAUGUGACAUGGGAGGAGGGUCUCCCCUUUUCUCUUGGGGAGACACUGAGGUGAAAUAGGCCUGCACCAGCCAAUACAGAGGCAGCAAGUAGAGUCCUGAAGACACUCACUUGGCUGCAAAAGAGACCAGGGGUUUCCUCCAGCUGCCUGGUUGGCUGCUGCUCUGAGAAGAUACCAGGCCUCUGCUCCGGUGGCUUCAGGGAGGCCACCCUGGACACAGCCAGCAGAAGCAGGUCAUCGAUGGAGGGGUCAGCCUACAAGGACACAGCCAAGUUCAUGUUCUUUGGGAGGUGGCAGCCAAGGACUUGGUGCACUGCAAGGAGGUCAGGGAAACAGAGACAGAGAAGCUGCUUCUCCAAACUUCAGUGACCACACCUGUGUUCCUGCAGCUGAGUGUCUCUCAGAAUGGGUGUCUCUUAGGGACACACUGCUGUAGCUCAACACAGGAGCAUUGCCAACACUUUGAGCUGGAGAAUAACACAAACCACAGAUGAGCCUCUUGGAAUGACCACUGUGGGGACCUGAAGGUGUGUACUGGAGGCUGGACAAGCGUUGAGGGGCUCCCCUGGCGAGCAUCUGUGACAGGUUUGAUGAGGCCUGUUCCCAGCAGUGGCAGUGAGACUGGCAUGUCUGGAUGACCUCUACCCAGAGGCCCAGCUUUAUUGCAGGCUGGCUCUGAAUCCUUUCAUCUCUGGCCGCAGCCGGACAAAGUGCCAGAGCUGAGCAGCUGCCUCAGUUCUCCAGCCCCUGUGCUCUGAGAGGCCACACAGGGGACAGAGAUCAGAGGAGCCGACACCAAAGUGAUGCAACUGCCCUCCCAGGA